GGGGAUUUAGCUCAGUGGUAGAGCGCUUGCCUAGCAAGCACAAGACCCUGGGUUCAGUCCUCA
rfam:Rattus norvegicus chromosome 6, whole genome shotgun sequence.